GGAGAGGUGUCCGAGUGGCUUAAGGAGCACGCUUGGAAAGCGUGUGUACGGUCAAACGUACCGAGGGUUCGAAUCCCUCCCUCUCCGCCA
rnacentral:tRNA from 1 species